AGACUCCACCGCUCCUCCUGCUCCUGCUGCCACACCACCGACACCCGAGGAGGAGCCAGGAGCAGCCACAACGUCUCUCUCUUCCAUCCCAGACAUGACGAUGGAGAUGAAGAGAUGAACCUGCUGCUAAACCAGGAGGAGGAAGUGGGACCCUCCCUGACAGCUCAUUGAGCCGUUCUGGACCCUGAUGUUUAACUCUCCUUGCCAAGCAGUCUUCACACAGCGUAGGAGAAGAGUUUAAUGUGACAGAGAGGUGGAGAAAGUGGCUGCUCUCCAGGAAUACAAUCUCAGGCGACAUUACUCUUCUUCUAAACAUGCAGUAUGACAGCAGAAAGAAGUGGCGCUCCCAGGAGAGAACGACCAGUCGCUGCUGUCAUCUCCUCGGCUGUUAUCUUCCAGUAAAAGGUAACGGGAUGAACGGGAUGCAGCUCUGAGAGGACCGGACCUGCUGGUGUAGCUACACUGGUUACCAUGGAUACACGUCAAGAGGCGGAGAACUACCGGAAGUGGAGCGAUUUUGCCUUCAAAAUAAAAUUAUUUUUUUUGGAGAAA